AAGCUCAGACAUUUCAUUCUCUCUGUUUUCUCCCUUCUUCUCCCAGGCUACUAUCAUUGGAGUAAUAGAAGGAAGAAGAGAUCAACAGGCGAGUGAGAGUCCAUGGACAAAUGCUAGUGAUGGUUUCGCAAUUGAUACGGCUCUGAAGACAAAUAUUCUUCCUGGUGCUGUUGCAGAGGUUGGACUGCUCUGUUUUGUGUCUGUGUUCACUCAAACCCAGAAGAAGAAGUUAGUCAACGUGUUGAGCCAAUAUUACUUUCUGUGAUAUCUUCUUUGAAAGGAACACCACGCACUGGAUUUUUAGGAGGAGGAACUUUUGAUGCUUCUGCUUCAUCAAAGGCACCUUUCUUGGUUAGGUCCACAAUUUCACCAGCUCUUGAGGCUGCAAUUGACUAUCAACUUAAGAUAUUGCCAGUUUGCAUCACAUAAGGAUCAAUUCAAAGAAGCUAUCUUCUUUGCUUUUGACUCACCAUCUUGGAAGGUCUUUUUAUUUCCAUGCUUAUAUUGUUUUUUUUUUCAAAUAGGUUGAUUAUGUUAUAAAUAAACGUGAAUAAUUGUGGUUAAUAGUGGAAUUUCCAUUGGUUCCUAAUCUAUUUGAUUGUAUCUACGUUGUCCAUUAUAAU